CCCCCGAUCCAUCAACCCCUCUCUCCCGGCUAAUACCAAUCCCAAUUCCAGGCCCUGAACUCAUCUUGAUUGCUUUUCGCGCUACGUCUGUCGCAUAUUUUAAAUCCCCAGUUGAGUGGCAAUCAAACCAGAGUCGCAGCCAGAACCAGAACCCGAACCAGGGCCCGAACAAGAGUCAGUGGCAGUAACAGUAACAGUCCUACAACCAGGAGUCAACCACCCGCCAACAUCGCCACCCCAGUGACCUCGCAGGCCUGACUGUACCAACAUUUCCGGCCAAUUUUGAUGAACGACUAACUAGUGAUGCCGUACUUUUUAUUCCUGUCCCUGAUCCUUUACUCUUCCCCCACUGGAAAGCGACAGAGACGACAGGACCAGAAAAAGUGUAAAAUGUGUAUUGCCCAGUGAAUGGUGUGUGGCUUAGAAAGGGUUUCCAUGAGGUUUGGGUGGUGUAGUGUGACAAUCCAAAAAAAAAAUAAAAUUAAAAAAGUAAUGCUAAAACAAAUGAAUAGCGACAUUUGAAAUUGUUUGCAGGGUGCGCCAGUUGUCGGACAAAUCGAAUGUGCAUUUUUAUUUGCCACCAAGGCUUCAGUGGCCGUCCUAAAUGGAAUAUAUCUAAAAUUUAUAUGCCGAAUGUA